rnacentral:sRNA from 1 species
UUGUGAGGGAAGCCAGAACAGAACAAAGUGUGGCAUUCCCAUGGAACCAUCCGAGCACUUGAUCAGCGCGUGGGCCAGCGCCUUUUCCCCUUGAUGGAACUGGGCGUGGGAGAGCGAAGAGGAGAAAUGGUGGUUUGUACCUGCUCCGUGCAAAUGCCAGACCCAGAACACACUGGCUCUGUACAAAAUAACCCAGAAGGCCAAUUAUCUACCUCAACUUCCUUCUUUAAGGCAGACGAGAAAGACCCAAAGAGACGGGACGCAAAUACUCCUUGACAUCUUUUCAAGACCCUGCAAAGCGCUGGAGCGCUCGCUUCUGAACCGCAUCUGCUUUCUAUUCCGCCCGAGUCUUGCUGCUAGGAGGCCGGGCAGGGAGGGGCUCCAGCGGCAAUCCAGGGGCUGGUUUGCGUCAAGUUCACCAUGUAGAAAAAGAGGGAUUUGCUUUUCCCUGCAAGGAGAAUCUGUGCUUCUGAAGCUACAGGGGAAAUACAGAAGUCUGCUUUUUCUGUGUCCCUUUCUCUCUGGAUCUUUCUUCCUGUGGUCUUCUCCCUGCCCAGGAGUUAAGAAUGGCUUCACUUUUGCUAAUGCCACUAAUUUAAAGCCUUUUCACUCCCGGUGGCGAAUAUCUGCUAGCACUGUUUUCUCUGAGGGAGACUACUCAUGUGUCAGUCAAAAGUGCCUUUCAUUCACGAAUCCCGUAAACAAUUAAAUGCAUAGCAUGCUAGGCCGUGGAAACCUU